CUCCCCGGAGGUCGCCGCCAGACCUUAGAGCUGCAUUAUUUCUGUCGCCUGUACUCCCUUCGGUCUCUGCGCUUGAGCUGGUGGUAGCUUCAGCGGGUGAGGAUGAGAGUCUUGUUUUAUUGGAUUCGUGGGAAUAUUAAAAUGGCUAAUAGAACUGAAGAAUUUAGAAAAAGACUUGGCACAGAGCGAGUGGUAUAUAAAUAUUAGUUGCUGCCAUUAUUAGUUUUUAUUUUUAUUUUUUAUAGUUGCUACCAUUAUUAUUAUUUUUACUGUUAUCAUUUCCUCAGUGACUCCUGCUAAGUAGCUAUCAUCUCGACAUUUGUCAUCUGUGGAAACAGACUCGGUGGAGUAGGAUGGCUUUCCCAGGGUCAUGUAAUAAGCAGUAAAAUCAGGUUUGGAAGCCAGUUCAUUCAACUAUGGGGCACUUGAUAUUUCCUCUAUGGUGAGGGAGCUGAAGCCUGGGAAGUUUUAAGCAAAACUUAAGCGGGUUUGCAUUUUUACAAAGUGCAGCCUGGCUGCCUCAAGGAAAUUGAAUUGGGUGGCAGCAAGACUGGAGGUGAAGAGUCCAGAGUGGAGGUGUGUUGGACACUGUUGACUGCCAGAUCAGUCAUGUCUUUCCAUUCUCACGGAAGCCUGGUUUUGUUUAGGAGGCAGAAGGUCCAGUUUCCAGGUAUGAUCCCAAGCCAGUCACAGGCACUGCCAUUUCUUUUUGCCAGUGAUUGGUCCAGGGGUGUGCCUGUGAUCUAGUUUUUUCUAGCCAGUGAGUUGGGGAGGAGCCAUAUUUGGAAAAUUUCCUUCUUCUAAUAAUAGCUAGGGAGGAAGCCUUUUCUGUCCCCUUUCCUCCUUCAUACAAUAUGAGGUUGUGAUGGCUGGAGCUGUGGCAUUUAUGAAGACACCAUGAGGCACAAGCCUGAGGUUGAAAAGCUGACAUCCCAAAGAUGCCAGCGCAGAAAGAGGGCAAGAACUAAGCAGGACCUUGAUAAUGUAGUUGAACAGCUGAAUGAAUCCUGGGCUGCCCAAGACAUGAAAUAAUAACUGUCUUUAUUGCUUAAGCUGCUCUUAAAGGCUUAUCCCAAGGAGAGACAGGACCUGCCUGGCAGUUCUCAGAAGGGGCAGCUGGGAGCUCACAGCAGCCGCCACUCACAGCUGCUGGGGCAGAGGAUGCGGGUAGGGCGCCACAGCACCCACACCAUCACACCCUCAUCGCAGCUCCCCGAGGUGGGGGUGCUCUGAGCAACAGCAAGGUGUCAAGUUCUUAAAAGAAGCCCGCACAGAGGAAGACGGGUCUCCCAUCUUCCCGCCGCCGUCCUCUGACCUGACACACAAGGACACUUGAGGAGGCUCCUCACAGUGGCAGGCAGGACCCUCUAUUUCUUCCCAGCAUCCAGGCCCCUCCUGGAAGAGCUGACCCCUUUGGGCUCCCAAUGGCCCCACGGGGGAAGCCCACUCUGCUCCAGCGCUGCUGGUGACUAGAUGGAAACAUCCUGGGGUUUGAUGUCAGGAAGUACCUUCGGUCCAAACAGAAGACAUGCCCCACCCCUGACCCUAGCUUUGAUCAACAAUAAAUGUGAUAUUUUGGCUUCUAGCA